rnacentral:rRNA from 1 species
UACGUAGGGUGCAAGCGUUAAUCGGAAUACUGGGCGUAAAGCGUGCGCAGGCGGUGAUGUAAGACAGAUGUGAAAUCCCCGGGCUCAACCUGGGACCUGCAUUUGUGACUGCAUCGCUAGAGUACGGUAGAGGGGGAUGGAAUUCCGCGUGUAGCAGUGAAAUGCGUAGAUAUGCGGAGGAACACCGAUGGCGAAGGCAAUCCCCUGGACCUGUACUGACGCUCAUGCACGAAAGCGUGGGGAGCAAACAGG